UACGAAGGGGGCUAGCGUUGUUCGGAAUCACUGGGCGUAAAGGGCGCGUAGGCGGCUUUAUAAGUCGGGGGUGAAAGCCUGUGGCUCAACCACAGAAUUGCCUUCGAUACUGUAGAGCUUGAGACCGGAAGAGGUAAGUGGAACUGCGAGUGUAGAGGUGAAAUUCGUAGAUAUUCGCAAGAACACCAGUGGCGAAGGCGGCUUACUGGUCCGGUUCUGACGCUGAGGAGCGAAAGCCAGGGGAGCAAACGGG
rnacentral:rRNA from 1 species